rnacentral:rRNA from 1 species
GUGGGGAAUAUAGGACAAUGGGCGAAAGCCUGAUCCAGCCAUGCCGCGUGUGUGAAGAAGGUCUUCGGAUUGUAAAGCACUUUAAGUUGGGAGGAAGGGCAGUAAGUUAAUACCUUGCUGUUUUGACGUUACCGACAGAAUAAGCACCGGCUAACUUCGUGCCAGCAGCCGCGGUAAUACGAAGGGUGCAAGCGUUAAUCGGAAUUACUGGGCGUAAAGCGCGCGUAGGUGGUUUUGUAAGUUGGAGGUGAAAUCCCCGGGCUCAACCUGGGAACUGCCUCCAAAACUGCAUGACUAGAGUACGGUAGAGGGUAGUGGAAUUUCCUGUGUAGCGGUGAAAUGCGUAGAUAUAGGAAGGAACACCAGUGGCGAAGGCGACUACCUGGACUGAUACUGACACUGAGGUGCGAAAGCGUGGGGAGCAAACAGGAUUAGAAACCCGGGUAGUCC